CAUACACAGUAAAGCCUGCUAGUGACGUACGAGAGUUGGAAGCGUCUAGCUGGUGUCUUGAUAGCCGGGCCUACAGCUCAUAUGUGUUGCACCCGAAAUCGAUUACCAAUUUUAUCGAGCAAGUCGAAGAUAUAAAUUUGGGAGACAACAACGUUAUGAGAGCUCUAGGAAAAGUUGACGUGGUCGUGAAAACAGAUAAUUGUAUGUAUAUUUAUUGUGCAGUUUCUUGAGGAUGUACUGUAAUAUUUCGCAAUGACUGUGUUAUUGCACACCAGGAUGGAGAAGAAGUGUUGAAAGGGCAAAGAAAAAUCCACUGUUUAUUUUCAAGAGCACUUGUUUCGGCGCUAUACAAACCAGAGAAGUUUCUGGCGUAAUCGAUAUGGACAUUUAAAUUAUGCCAGUUUAUCAGAGUUAGUAAAGCAUUCAAUGGUGCAAGUCAGUGCCUGUUGUGUAUGAAGAGCACCAACAGGAAUUGGUUCACAUGGCCAAUUUUGUCUGGCUGACAAUAACGAUUUGCGCACCAUUUCCCCCUCUUGCGGACCUGCUGAGACGCUUGUGAGCCUGACAUGACUGCUCUGAACUACAGUUGUUUAGACGGAUAACAGAAACUGAGCCGAUCUACUCAUUUCCGUAUUUCCGUCCGGCCGUAUGAACGCCGAAAUCUUGGAUUCUUCAAAAAUUAAUUAAGAAUAAGCAC